UGGGGAAUAUUGGGCAAUGGGGGAAACCCUGACCCAGCAACGCCGCGUGAAGGAAGAAGGCCUUCGGGUUGUAAACUUCUUUGAUCAGGGAAGAAACAAAUGACGGUACCUGAAAAACAAGCCACGGCUAACUACGUGCCAGCAGCCGCGGUAAUACGUAGGUGGCAAGCGUUAUCCGGAUUUACUGGGUGUAAAGGGCGUGUAGGCGGUCUCAUAAGUCAGAUGUGAAAUUCCCGGGCUUAACCCGGGCGCUGCAUCUGAAACUGUGGGACUUGAGUACUGGAGAGGAUAGUGGAAUUCCUAGUGUAGCGGUAAAAUGCGUAGAUAUUAGGAGGAAUACCGGUGGCGAAGGCGACUAUCUGGACAGUAACUGACGCUGAGGCGCGAAAGCGUGGGGAGC
rnacentral:rRNA from 1 species